CCUACGGGAGGCAGCAGUAGGGAAUAUUGCUCAAUGGGGGAAACCCUGAUGCAGCAACGCCGCGUGGAGGAUGAAGGUUUUCGGAUUGUAAACUCCUUUUGUUAGAGAAGAUAAUGACGGUAUCUAACGAAUAAGCACCGGCUAACUCCGUGCCAGCAGCCGCGGUAAUACGGAGGGUGCAAGCGUUACCCGGAAUCACUGGGCGUAAAGAGGGCGUAGGCGGGAUAGCAAGUCAGAUGUGAAAUCCUAUGGCUUAACCAUAGAACUGCAUUUGAAACUGUUUGUCUGGAGUAUGGGAGGGGUAGGUGGAAUUCUUGGUGUAGGGGUAAAAUGCGUAGAGAUCAAGAGGAAUACUCAUUGCGAAGGCGACCUGCUGGAACGUAACUGACGCUGAUGCGCGAAAGCGUGGGGAGCAAACAGGAUUAGAUACCCUAGUAGUC
rnacentral:rRNA from 1 species